rnacentral:rRNA from 1 species
UACAGAGGGGGCAAGCGUUGUUCGGAAUUACUGGGCGUAAAGGGCGCGUAGGCGGCCUGUUAAGUCGAACGUGAAAUCCCCGGGCUCAACCCGGGAACUGCGUCCGAUACUGGCAGGCUUGAAUUCGGGAGAGGGAUGUGGAAUUCCUGGUGUAGCGGUGAAAUGCGCAGAUAUCAGGAGGAACACCGGUGGCGAAGGCGGGUCUCGUGGGCCGAUGACUGACGCUGAGGAGCGAAAGCGUGGGGAGCGAACAGG